CAAGCCAAAAUAUCCUUAAAAAUAAAAUUUAUUACCUUCGGUGCACUGUGGACUGACAGCUCGGUCCGCAGAACAAAGGAAGCAGUCCACAGGAAUAGUUCACGAUCUACAGGUGCGGUCUAUGGGCCAGGAAGAAAAAAAUAUGCUGAUCGACGGUCCAGAUUUCAUCUAGAGCUCGAUCCAACGGCUGUGGUGGUUCCCGACUGUGUUAAGGAGAAUAAAGGCACAAUCCAAUGGCCAGAAUUCAAUCU
rnacentral:lncRNA from 1 species